AUGACACCCGUUACACGACCACCGAACACUGACAUUCAGCUAGUGUCGGAGCUCAUUGAUUCUCAAACUUGGUCGUGGAGGCAGGAUUUGGUCAGAGAAAAUUUCACUGCUUCUGAUGCUGCGGCCAUUCUAAACAUCCCUAUCAGGUCGGGCGGUGGCAAUGAUUUCCUUGCUUGGGCAUUUGAAAAAUCAGGCAACUACACUGUCAAAACAGCGUACCGUUCUCUUGUGACUCAGAACGAGCUUUUGGCUCCAGAGGAAGGGACGGCUACCGGAACCUCAUCGAGUGAUCAACAGUUGUGGAAAGCCCUGUGGAAGUUGAAUGUAAUUCCAAAAGUCAGAGUGUUUUGGUGGAGAGUUCUUCGAGGGAUUCUUCCAGAUGAAGCAACACUCAAUCAUCGACACAUUGCGGAUGCUCGUCAGUGCAAAGUUUGUCUUGCGGCAGACGAGGAUCUGCAGCAUGCACUAUUGUAUUGCCCGCAUGCUCAAAGGUUCUGGGAAGAGGCCUGUGCGAGGUUUGGGCUGCGGCUACCGCAUCUUAACACACAGUCAUGGGCAUGA
rnacentral:rRNA from 1 species